rnacentral:tRNA from 1 species
AUUUGUAUAAUUUAUAAAGAAUAUUGCAUUGAAGCUGCAAAGGAGGUAAGUUACCUGCAAAUA